rnacentral:rRNA from 1 species
GAAGCGGCAACAGCUCAAAUUUGAAAUCUGGCUCUCGGGCCCGAGUUGUAAUUUGUAGAGGAUGCUUUUGGUGAGGUGCCUUCCGAGUUCCCUGGAACGGGACGCCAUAGAGGGUGAGAGCCCCGUCUGGUUGGACGCCGAUCCUCUGUAAAGCUCCUUCGACGAGUCGAGUAGUUUGGGAAUGCUGCUCUAAAUGGGAGGUAUAUGUCUUCUAAAGCUAAAUACCGGCCAGAGACCGAUAGCGCACAAGUAGAGUGAUCGAAAGAUGAAAAGAACUUUGAAAAGAGAGUUAAAAAGUACGUGAAAUUGUUGAAAGGGAAGCGCUUGUGACCAGACUUGGGCUUGGUUGAUCAUCCGGGGUUCUCCCCGGUGCACUCUUCCGGCUCAGGCCAGCAUCAGUUCGCCUCGGGGGAUAAAGGCUUCGGGAAUGUGGCUCUCUCCGGGGAGUGUUAUAGCCCGCUGCGUAAUACCCUGUGGCGGACUGAGGUUCGCGCAUUCGCAAGGAU